rnacentral:rRNA from 14 species
AAGUAAUUAAGAGCACAAGGCGGAUGCCUUGGCAGCUGAAGGCGAUGAAGGACGUUAUAGCCUGCGAUAAGCCUCGGGGAGUCGGCAAAUAGACUUUGAUCCGGGGAUUUCCGAAUGGGGAAACCCACCGCUCCGGCGGUAUCUGCACCUGAAUACAUAGGGUGUAGAGGCGAACUUGGGGAACUGAAAUAUCUAAGUACCCAAAGGAAAAGAAAUCAACCGAGAUUCCGGGAGUAGCGGCGAGCGAAACUGGAGCAGCCCUUAAGCUUGAUAUAACUCAGUAGAACAUUCUGGAAAGUUUGGCCAUAGUAGGUGAUAGCCCUGUAUAUGAAAAGUUAUAACAAGUGAAAUCGAGUAGGUCGGGACACGUGAAAUCUU